GCUGUGCACAGUGGCACGUGCCUACAGUCUCAGCUACUCGGGAGGCUGAGGCAGGAGGAUCACCUGAGCCCAGGAAUUCCGGCUGUAGUGCACUAUGACAAUCGGGUGUUCGCACUAAAUUCAGCUUCAAUAUGAUGGCCUCCACCAGCUUGCCCAAGGAGGGGGGCGGGGAACCGGCCCAGGUGGGAAAAGGGACAGGUGAAAAUUCUCAUGCCGAUCAGUAACGAGAUCGCGCCUGUGAAUAGCCCCUUGCACUCCAGCCUGAGUGACAGAGUGAGAACCUGGGUUUU
rfam:Nomascus leucogenys chromosome 14, whole genome shotgun sequence.